GACCUAAUUUGCGAAAUUGUUAUCAAGUGAAACACAAUUAGCCCUAAACACUUGAGCGGAAAUAUUUAAUGCAUCCUUGUGAGUUUAGCGGUUAAUCCAAGUUUAGUAUGUCGUACUUACUUGUCGUAAAUUGGUUGGACACAUGGCUAGCACAUAAACAUCUUUUGCAUGUUAUAUAUUAAUUACCUAAUAAAUUUUUGAGACCUAUACAUAUGCUUGAUCAAUUCAUUGUCAUUUACAUAAUUUAGUUCCCCGAGGAUGUGGUUGGAAAGACUUGCUAGCACCACUAAUUUGCAUUUGUGUGUUUAAGUUAGUAGUUUUCGGUUUAUGUUUUAUUUAAUUUCUUUGAGAACAAACAAAGUUCAAGUGUUUGACUUAGGAAAGCUGAGUGCUCAUGUGCAUAACACGAGUUUAUUAGUUCAAAUUGUCAGUUAUCUCUAUUAAUUAAGCCAAUUUGGCUUAUGGAACUGGUCAUGGUUAAAUU
rnacentral:lncRNA from 1 species